AGCCAAAUUCCUCAUUUCGGAAUAUGGUGAAAAUCUUUAUUGCCCAAUUAGAUAUUCAGUUUAUUAACUUCUUUGUGCUUUGAGUUUAUUAAAUGGGUUUAUUCUUAUAUUUCAUUAUGGAAAUCCAAUAUGGAGCCUUGCCUGGGUCUACUCCCCUUUUUUCCCAUGUUUCCCCUUUACCACUCCUAUAAGAUGACAGGUAGUCAGAGCUCAGGAAGGCCCCAGGUAGAGCGGUAACAUACAGUUUUUGACCGCACUUAAUCGUCAGUUUAUCAGCUUAUUUUACAGAACCUUUGUUUUGUUUGUUUGUUUCUAGCUAUAGCGAGCUAUUGGGGCUGUUGUGACAAAACGUACUUUGCUCCCGAAUAAAUGUUGUUGGCUCUCUAUAAUCUUUGUUUGGACUGCAAUUCGGAGCGUGUCUAACUGUGUUACGUCCCCUGCCUCUGCUUGCCUGGGUAGUGCAGGUGGAGGUAGUUGCUUAAUUGCUUAAUUGCGUGAUUGCUUCCACCUGCCUGUGGCCCAAUAUAAGCCCAGUAGUAUGAGGCAGGGGAGAUUUUCUUUUGGGGCUUGUGAUUUGUGUGGAGAGCUUUGGUUUUGUGAACGUUGUGUGUUUUUGUUUGUAAUUUAGAUUAAUAAAUGUCUGGGUUUGUUUUUAGAUCAGUUUCUGUCGUGUUUUUGAUGCAUCUGGACUUUGUUUGUUGCGGCCAGUCGAGCCAGCCGUAACAAACUGCAUGCAUCAUACCUGGAGCCUCAAGGCAAGUUUGGUCCAUAGGAUUGCCUCUACAGUUUGCAUUUUGUACUGAUGGAGGAUAUACAUUGGUAUACAUCCAAAGUGCCUCUUUGUUUUUGUUCACUUUUUUCUACUUUGGUAGUUUUUCAUUUAGAUGUGCAUUGUUUUUGGUAUGUUAUUUUGGAGUUCAAUAUUUUAACAAUCUGUUAAUAUGUAAUUUCUUCAACCAUUUGUUAGCCUGCCGCUUGCCUGCAUUAUGUAUGAUUUCUAUGAUCAAUGACACGGCACAGCCUUUGACUUGUGUUAAUCUAAAAAUACACUUUUGUAGUGACCCUCAGCUAAUGUUAAGCAUUGUAAUAAGCUGUAGUAUACCUAUACAAUUGUCGUUUGGUUUUAUGAAGUUCAUUUAGGAAUUUUACAUGGUUGAUUAUUUAUAUUGCUUCUUGGGUUAAGGCAAUUCUAAGAUAACUAUUCAUGUUUUUCAAGGGAAGCAACAGCCUGACACAAUGCACCUCAAAGUGAAGAGAAUGAGGAAAGAUGGUCCAAAUGUGUGCAACAACAUUGACCAUGGCAAGAGCACACCCCUGGGAGCUGAGUGGGUGAGAAACAACCUCCACCGGCUUUUAAGGGAAAGUAGAUGAACCUCACUAUCUCAUGUUGGGAUCAAGACGUCAAAAGAAAGUCGAAGAAAAACUGCUUGAAGCACACGAUGAAGAACGUCAGGAAUUGAUGGAUAAUUUUUUGUUUGAGUUUGAAUGUCCAGAUGAUUGUGAUUUGUUCAGGUCUGAGGUCAGAGACACUCUUGACAUUCCUGAGUGUGCAAGCUUUAGUAAGCAUGUACAUUGAAAUCUUUAGGGGUCCAAACACUGCAGGUGCUGGAACCCUAGUGUAUUUGUAAGGAUUCUUCUUAUUAGGGGUCCAAGCAGCAAAGCUGGUGGAACCCUAUUGUAUCUGUUAGGAUCAUUAGGGGUCCAAGCAGCGAAGCUAUUGGGACCAUAUACGUCCACCAUAUUGUUUCCACCAUAUGGACUUUUUUAUUAGUUGGGGUGCGGAAGAGCUGUAGCUCCACAUCUAAAGUGUUACGACAUCUAGUAAACUUCUUUAUGGCAAGCGGCUAGAAGACAUCCAUGGCGAUGUAAGUAAUCCGAUACCGUAGGGUCUAGUUUUUAUCAGUGAGGGGAGGGUCUGAACGUCGGGGAAGCAAUGGAAGACAGUGCCAGCCAGAGUGCAUGCUAGGCUACUAAAAGUUUGUUCGUAAAAGCUUUUUGAGAGGAUGAAUAAUUACUUUUCUUUGGCAUGGAUCCAUUUGAAGACAAUAUCGAGUGAGUUCGUUUAGUCUUUAAAUCUGUCAUUAUGCUGAGAAAUAGCUAAACCAUUUUAUUGAUAGUAUUUGAGUUUCUGUGUAAACGCGCGAAAACAUGCUGCUAUAAUAAAACAAUGAUGGCAAUACAUGUAUAGUCGCAGGUCGCGAGUUAAUAUUUCGUCUUUUUUCGUUUUUUUCCUCAAUGGCGUAUUUGAAAUGUGUAUUUGUGUUAUUAUUCUAUCUGUCUUUGUGGCGCACUGAAAUGUGCAUUCUCUGCUAAGCUGAGCAAUGGAUUGGAAUAUGUGUCUGACGUAGUGUUGCACGGUAUACCAAAACUUAAGCACUUUCUCUGUACUUUUAAAAAAAAAAAAAAAAAAAAAAAGAAA